UAGCGGCGGACGGGUGAGUAACACGUGAGCAACCUGCCUUUAGCUGGGGAAUAACACUGGGAAACCAGUGCUAAUACCGCAUAACAUCUACUUUAGGCAUCUAGAGUAGAUCAAAGGAGAAAUCCGGCAAAAGAUGGGCUCGCGUCCGAUUAGAUAGUUGGUAGGGUAAAGGCCUACCAAGUCAACGAUCGGUAGCCGGACUGAGAGGUUGAACGGCCACAUUGGGACUGAGACACGGCCCAGACUCCUACGGGAGGCAGCAGUGGGGAAUAUUGGGCAAUGGGGGAAACCCUGACCCAGCAACGCCGCGUGAAGGAAGAAGGUCUUCGGAUUGUAAACUUCUUUGAUCAGGGACGAAGAAAUGACUGUACCUGAAGAACAAGUCACGGCUAACUACGUGCCAGCAGCCGCGGUAAUACGUAGGUGGCAAGCGUUAUCCGGAUUUACUGGGUGUAAAGGGCGUGUAGGCGGGUCUGUAAGUCAGAUGUGAAAUCUCCGGGCUUAACU
rnacentral:rRNA from 1 species